UACGUAGGGGGCGAGCGUUGUCCGGAUUUAUUGGGCGUAAAGAGCGCGCAGGCGGUCGCGCAGGUCAUCUGUGAAAGCCCCCGGCUCAACCGGGCGGAUGCGGGUGAAACCGCGCGACUGGAGGGUGGGAGAGGUCGGCGGAAUUCCCGGUGUAGUGGUGAAAUGCGUAGAUAUCGGGAGGAACACCCGUAGCGAAGGCGGCCGACUGGACCACACCUGACGCUGAGGCGCGAAGGCCAGGGGAGCGAACGGG
rnacentral:rRNA from 1 species